CCUACGGGUGGCAGCAGUGAGGAAUAUUGGUCAAUGGGCGCGAGCCUGAACCAGCCAAGUCGCGUGAGGGAAGACGGCCCUACGGGUUGUAAACCUCUUUUGCCGGGGAGCAACGGGCGCCACGUGUGGCGCCACUGAGAGUACCCGGAGAAAAAGCAUCGGCUAACUCCGUGCCAGCAGCCGCGGUAAUACGUAGGUGGCGAGCGUUAUCCGGAAUGAUUGGGCGUAAAGGGUGCGUAGGCGGCCUGCUAAGUCUGGAGUGAAAGGUACCGGCUCAACCGGUACAGGCUCUGGAAACUGGCGGGCUAGAGAGCAGGAGAGGGCGGUGGAACUCCAUGUGUAGCGGUAAAAUGCGUAGAUAUAUGGAAGAACACCAGUGGCGAAGGCGGCCGCCUGGCCUGUUGACUGACGCUGAGGCACGAAAGCGUGGGGAGCAAAUAGGAUUAGAUACCCCGGUAGUC
rnacentral:rRNA from 1 species